GGCAGGAGGGAGAUAACGGAGUGAGACGGUGAAGCAGCUGGGCUACACGGGCAAGUGCCUCACUCCAGUACAUCGGGGAGUUAUUCGUGCUCAGGUAACCAACCUUCCCACAACCAUGUUUAGCAAGCACAAGCGUAUGCUGUAGAAGUCAGAUUUUUUUGUCAUUGUUUCAUUUGUUCAACCCCUGCUGUGGCAUCAGGCCUUUUGCGUGUUGACGUUAAGAUGCUGUGAUAGUCCUGAGAAGUGAGUGUCAGUUCCUGCUCUUCAGAUGGGGACGAUGGGUGAAUCUCCCACAGCCAAAUGUUAAGCACAAGACAGAUCUCAGACUUCCAGGGACCGACUCCCCCCUCUCUGAGCAAUGGAACCCCAGUUUUGCUGGAGAUUGCAAUGUGCUCAGCCAAACGACAUUUCACAGAUUCCUUAGCGUGGCUGAAGGAACCUACUAGCUGAUGAAAUGUAGCUGGAGGUCAUCUUGUAGGGCUGGGAAAGUGCCUGAGAAAGGGGCCUGACUUGGUUGACGUGCACAUUUCUGCCACUGGUCCUUCCUACUGCAUGGAACAGGAUAUGAUGCUUGGAACUCCAGCAACCACAACGUAUGCAUGAGGACAUAGCCAGACUGUUAGGAUGGUGCAGCAGAGACUGUACUGGAAGCUUCUGGAAGAAGCUGGACCCCCGGAAGCUGUAGCUGCUUUAGCAGCCUUCAUAUGAGAGGAAAAUAAAACACCCAUCUUGCUUAAGCUGGGGCUGUUUCCUUAUAUAGGCAGCUGUGCUCAAUCCUGACAGUUAAAGACACCAAAGUACACCCUCGCUUCUCUCGAUGCUUUGUGUCCAGCACUGGGGCCAUGAGAGGAAGAGAGUAACGUUGCAGCCGAGGGACGUCUGAGCUCCGGCACCAGCCUCUUCCUCGGCAGGCGAUCAGGAAGGACUGUGGUGGUCCAGCGAUGCCUGGGCUCCCUGGUCUCAGCCCUGGCAAAUCUGCACCUUUCAGGCUUGCUUCUCGCCCUCCGAUUUUGGCAGCUCAGUGGCUUCUGAAAGAGUGCUGCUGCUUCUGUCUCUGUGAUGGGAGCCGGGCCUUGGCUGGUGCUUGUGCCACAGAGGCCCCUGCAAUGCUCCACAGGGUGCCUGCCUCAGGAGGAAUGAGGGCCAUUCUGAAAAGUUUUGCCUGCAGUGCAGCAAUCUCUCUACUCCGUUUUUCCAGGACCAGCUGGACCAGUUGCUGGUUCUGCCUGUGCUGGUACUGAGCUCCUCUGAUGUGCUGACUGCCGUUACCUCGGAGUAAUGUCGACCUCCUCUACCUGCGGACUCUUGCUGAACUUCUGUUCCGCCAGCCAGGAAUCACCUUCACCUGCUGUUUUCAGCUCGAAGGCUGUUGCCUCCCUAUGGAUGCUGGCUUCCUCUCCAUACUGCCCUUCUCCUCCUUCUGGUAAGCUCAGUUAAGGGAUGACUUCGCUGGAACUACAGGUCCUCUGCAAUCCCGCCCUGUGCCAUGUGGACCACUCUUAACUCUCAGUGGGUUUUCUCUGGGUUUCCACUGGUGUUCUCCAUUCCAACGCAACUUUGGGGAAAGUUCCAGGCCUUCAUACAAGAUAGAUCCCAACUGGAACACAAGUUCAGCUUUUCUCCCACAAUCAAUGGAUCCCAAACAGAUGCAGGAAUGCAGCCUUCCAUAGAUUUCAUGGUCUGCUGAGGCCGAUCUUCUCAGAGCACAGAGCAGACCACCAGGCCACAGUGUUGCCUAAUUUUGCAUUCCAUCCUAAUGCUCGUGGGGAUGCAGCCUGAAACCUUUGUUGAACUCAAGUUUAGAUAAACUGAGAAGCCCAAUUGAGAUAAUAUAACAGUUGCAAUUACUGUUCUUCAAUGCCUCUUAAAUGCCAAGUAUUUUGUAUUUAUUUAAUCUGGUUCUCAUGUAUCCCAGAUCACGUUUGUGGGUUUCACUGCCCAGUGAGACUUAGAUGGCACUGCUUCCAACACCAUCAUUUCCAUGACUCCUCCCCUCAAGUGCUGUUCAUUUUUCUGUUAAAUGCUUGCGGUUCCUUCUGCCUGUGGCUCAUGAAAUUGUCCAUGCUGCCUCUGUUUGAACAAAUCAACUGAGUUUUCUGUAAGUUUCCAUGGUACCUGAGUUCCGUUCACACUGAGUCUUUCAGGGAUCCACAGGAGGGGUCUUUUCCCCUCCAGAUUCUAUUUCCGUCUCCUGUCCCCCCACAGAGUCCGUCACACUCCUCCUUUCUCUCUCCUAACAAGACGACGAGUCCUUUGUUGCUGGAGCUUGUCUCUCACCCAAGUUCCUUAUUCCCAGACAGUGGGAGAGAGAGAAAUCUGAAAGUGAGAUCCUGGUGGAAUAGUUAGUAAGUGUGAGCUCCUUGUCAGUGGAAUUUUAUAAUUUAGGACCUUUGAACAUAUGCAAACAGGCUCUUAUACUAAUCAGAAUUUCAUAGGGCUCUUCUCCAGCAGUUCCAUGUGGAGUGGGUUAAUUAUGAACCAGUGCCUAAAAAAGUUUAGCACACUGAGAAGGUAUCAGAAAUAUCUCAAAUGAAUAUUAAUGGUUUGAAAUGUCUAUGUAAUUGAAAUCAAUUUAAAUGUAAAGAUAAUUUGAAGAAUGCUAAUGCAAUGGUGGAGUCUCCUACAGAUAAAUAUGUCAAAACACAUUGGAAUUUCUCUGAGGCUGUGGCAGAAGCCUGCAUUGCGAGCAGGCUGUGGGGUAGGUAGAUUUGACUUAAUUUUUGGUCCUUUAAGCCUACUUUUUUUGGUUUUCAUAUUUGCAUCUUUAGUCAGAAGAUUUUUGCUUUGGCCUUGUUGAUUUUUCUUGGAAAUGAUACUUCUAUUUUUAUUGCAUUUUCAUUUAAAGUUGACUGACUCACCUAAAUGUCCAGGUUCUGGUUUGGGAGUGAUAAAGUAAACUCCAAUUUUGAAGUGAUUAAUAAUUUAAAAAAUACGUUGGUCAGACAAAUACUGCAUGAUUCCACUUAUAUGAAGUAUCUAAAAUAGUCAAAUUCAUAGAUAGAAGCAGAGGGCAGCUUGGUGGUUGCCGGGGUGGGGAGAUGGAGAAACGGGGAGUUGGUUGGAUAUAAAGUUUCAAUUUUGCAAGAUGAAUGAAUUCUAGAGAUGUGCUGUGCAACAUUGUGCUAUAGUUAACAACAGAGGAUUAUGCACUUAAAAAAAUUUGCUAAGAGGGCAGCUCUCAGGUAAGUGUCCUUACCGCAAAACAAAGUAACAAAAAGGCAUGAUGCAUAUGUUUAUCAUCUUGAUACUGGUGAUGAUGUGCAGGUGCAUACAUAUGUCCAAGCUUAUCCAAACUUGUGUACAUUGAAUAUGUCCAGCCUUUUUGUACAUUAGUUAUACCUCAAUAAUCUGCUUUUUUUUAAAAAAAGAUCUGUUAUUUUUCCUUUUUGUCCCCAAAGCCCCUGGUACCUAGUUGUGUAUUUUUAGUUGUGGGUCCUUCUAGCUGUGGCAUGCGGGACACCGCCUCAGUAUGGCUUGAUGAGCUGUGCCAUGUCCGCGCCCAGGAUUCAAACCAGCGAAACCCUGGGCCUCCAGAUGUGGAGCACGUGAACUUAACCACUGGGUCACGGGGCCGGCCCCCUCAAUAAUCUGUUUUUAAAAGGAAAUACAUAUGGUAACAAAAUUUACUAAAAAUAUGUUGUUGAAUUUCUUAUUAAGCAUCUGGAAGUUGUAUGUAGAAGACAGAGGAGGCAUGAACUUUCCCAUUUUGCAGUUGAGGAACCAAGGCUCAGACACAUUGAGUGAGUUGACCAGAGCCCUGCAAAUCCUUACGGUUGUAUUGUGCUUGACCAUUUCAGAAUGAUCUCAGAUCCAUUAUCUCAUUUGAGAUAGACUCUUACAUUCUUUCUAUGCAAUGAAUUAUGAAGUCUUAUCCAUUCUUCCACAUGCGCUUUUGCACCUGUCAGAAUCUUUCAUUUCUUAAGAAUCAGAGUAUAUCCAGCUUUUCCUGACUUCUAACCAGAAGGAAUCUACCCCAUUUCGAACCUCCAAUAGCAAGUAAUGUUUCAAUCUCAUGGCCCUUGCUGCAUGCUUCUUUCAGUGUGCUAUUUUCUGUAUCUGAUCUAUUGACAUUUCUUGAUGACAAAUCUGGGAAAUUAUUACUCUUUAUAUACUUUCAAAGCUUACAACGUUUUCUUACAGUAGUUGCCCAAGAAACACUUGUCAAAAUAAAAGAAUAAGAUAUUUCCCUUUUCUUUCUAUU
rnacentral:lncRNA from 1 species